rnacentral:misc_RNA from 1 species
GAUGAAGAACGUAGCGAAAUGCGAUACGUAAUGUGAAUUGCAGAAUUCAGUGAAUCAUCGAAUCUUUGAACGCAUAUUGCGCUCUCCGGUAUUCCGGAGAGCAUGCUUGUUUGAGUAUCAGUAAACACCUCAACUUCCAUAUCUUUUUUGAAAUGGGAGUUGGACUUGAGUGAUCCCAACGCUUUUCCUCACCGAAAAGUGGCGGGUUACUUGAAAUGCAGGUGCAGCUGGACUUUUCUCUGAGCUAUAAGCAUAUCUAUUUAGUCUGCCUAAAAAACAGAUUAUUACCUUUGCUGCAGCUAACAUAAAGGAGAUUAGUUCUUGUGCUGACUGAUGCAGGAUUCACAAAGACAGGCUUCGGCCGACUUUGUAAACUCGAUCUCAAAUCAAGUAAGACUACCCGCUGAACUUAAGCAUAUCAAUAAGCGGAGGA